CCUUCCACUACCUGAGAAAGCAAAGUAGUAAGGUUAGCCAUUUGAUUUUGAAGUUCGGUUAUGGCACUUACCUUAUUGACUUGAUGUGGUCGUGGGUUACUCCUUUGUCCAACGCCUUCAUAUUGUUAAGCAUUCAACGCACGGUUGGAAAUUAAAGUCUUUGCUGCCGUGGGGGUCUUGUCCACCAAGGCUCCUCCCGCCGAGGCAUCUAGCAUUUGACGUUCGAUAGGUAGUAGCCCCUCGUAGAAGUAUUGCAAAAGAAGUUCCUCAUUCAUCUGAUGUUGUGGGCAAGAAGCAACAAGAGAUUUAAAACGUUCAUAAUAAGUAGGAAAAGAUUCACCUUCCUCUUGUUAAAUUCCACUUAUCCUUUUCCGUAGGAGGAUGACUCGAGAAGUUGGGAAAAAUUUCUCCAAGAAGGCCCGUUUCAUGCUUUCCCAUGAUGUGACGGUUCCGGGCUCCAAUUCGUACAACCAAUCCUUCGCCUUUUCCAAGAGAGAAAAAGGGAAGGCUUUCAUCUUCAAAAUACUCCCAUCGACAUUGACGGGGGUCAUGCUCGAACACACUACCUCGAAUUCUUU
rnacentral:lncRNA from 1 species